AUUGAACGCUGGCGGCAGGCUUAACACAUGCAAGUCGAGCGAGCGGCCGACGGGUGAGUAAUGUCUGGGAAACUGCCUGAUGGAGGGGGAUAACUACUGGAAAAGGUAGCUAAUCCCGCAUACCAUCAGUUGUGCCCAGCUGGGAUUAGCUAGUAGGUGGGGUAAUAGCUAACAUAGGCGACGAUCCCUAGAUGGUCUGAGAGGAUGACCAGGCAAACUGGAACUGAGACACGGUCCAAAUUCCUAGGGGAGGCAGCGGUGGGGAAUAUUGGACAGUGGGGGAAAGCCUGAUGCAGCCAUGCGGCGUGUGUGAAGAAGGCCUUCGGGUUGGAAAGCACGUUCAGCGGGAAGGCGGUACUCGCAGAGGAAGCACCGGCUAACUCCAUGCCAGCAGCCGCGGUAAUUC
rnacentral:rRNA from 1 species